rnacentral:rRNA from 1 species
UUGCUCAGAUUGAACGCUGGCGGCAGGCCUAACACAUUCGAGUCGAAUCGUAACAGGAUGUGCUUGCUCAUAGCUGACGAGUGGCGGACGGGUGAGUAAUGCUUGUGAACUUGCCUUUGCGAGGGGGAUAACAGUUGGAAACGACUGCUCAUAUCGCAUAAUGUCUUCGGACCAAACGGGGCUUAGGCUCCGGCGCAAAGAGAGGCCCAAGUGAGAUUAGCUAGUUGGUAAGGUAACGGCUUACCAAGGCGACGAUCUCUAGCUGUUUUGAGAGGAAGAUCAGCCACACUGGGACUGAGACACGGCCCAGACUCCUACGGGAGGCAGCAGUGGGGAAUAUUGCACAAUGGGGGAAACCCUGAUGCAGCCAUGCCGCGUGUGUGAAGAAGGCCUUCGGGUUGUAAAGCACUUUCAGUUGUGAGGAAAAGUUAGUAGUUAAUCCCUGCUAGCCGUGACGUUAACAACAGAAGAAGCACCGGCUAACUCCGUGCCAGCAGCCGCGGUAAUACGGAGGGUGCGAGCGUUAAUCGGAAUUACUGGGCGUAAAGCGCACGCAGGCGGUUUGUUAAGCUAGAUGUGAAAGCCCCGGGCUCAACCUGGGAUGGUCAUUUAGAACUGGCAGAUUAGAGUCUUGGAGAGGGGAGUGGAAUUCCAGGUGUAGCGGUGAAAUGUGUAGAUAUUUGGAGGAACAUCAGUGGGGAAGGGGGCUUCCUGGCCAAAGACUGACGCUCAUGUGGGAAAGUGUGGGUAGCGAACAGGAUUAGAUACCCUGGUAGUCCCCCCCGUAAACGCAGUCUACUAGCUGUGUGGGCCGCUAAGGCGUAAGUAGCGCAGCUAACGCACUAAG